UUUUUCCUGCCCCGAAUACAUUAGCAUGGGAUAAUGGAAUAGGACCCUGACCUCCUAUUUUCAGUUGGUUUUGUUUACAGCGAGGUUAUAUCAGGGUAAUGAUUAAUAGGGAUAGUUGGGGGCAUUAAUAUUUAAUUGUCAGAGGUGAAAUUCUUGGCCUCUGAAAGAUAACUUCUGCGAAAGAGUUUG
rnacentral:rRNA from 1 species